CACGUAGGAGGCGAGCGUUGUUCGGAAUUACUGGGCGUAAAGCGCGCGUAGGCGGCUUUGUAAGUUAGAGGUGAAAGCCCGGGGCUCAACCCCGGAACUGCCUUUAAAACUGCAUCGCUUGAAUCCGGGAGAGGUGAGUGGAAUUCCGAGUGUAGAGGUGAAAUUCGUAGAUAUUCGGAAGAACACCAGUGGCGAAGGCGGCUCACUGGACCGGCAUUGACGCUGAGGUGCGAAAGCGAUGGG
rnacentral:rRNA from 1 species